rnacentral:tRNA from 3 species
GCGGGAGUAGCUCAGUUGGUAGAGCUUCAGCCUUCCAAGCUGAUUGUCGCCGGUUCGAGCCCGGUCUCCCGCU